rnacentral:rRNA from 1 species
AGUGAACGCUGGCGGUAGGCCUAACACAUGCAAGUCGAACGGCAGCACAGUAAGAGCUUGCUCUUACGGGUGGCGAGUGGCGGACGGGUGAGGAAUACAUCGGAAUCUACUUUUUCGCGGGGGAUAACGUAGGGAAACUUACGCUAAUACCGCAUACGACCUACGGGUGAAAGCAGGGGAUCUUCGGACCUUGCGCGAUUGAAUGAGCCGAUGUCGGAUUAGCUAGUUGGCGGGGUAAAGGCCCACCAAGGCGACGAUCCGUAGCUGGUCUGAGAGGAUGAUCAGCCACACUGGAACUGAGACACGGUCCAGACUCCUACGGGAGGCAGCAGUGGGGAAUAUUGGACAAUGGGCGCAAGCCUGAUCCAGCCAUACCGCGUGGGUGAAGAAGGCCUUCGGGUUGUAAAGCCCUUUUGUUGGGAAAGAAAAGCAGCAGGUUAAUACCCCGCUGUUCUGACGGUACCCAAAGAAUAAGCACCGGCUAACUU